AGUCUUCUGUAUCCGUGCUGAAACUUCGUCAAACACUAGACUACAAGGGCUGAUGAGACUCCCAAGAUAAGUGAAGCG
rfam:Schistosoma mansoni strain Puerto Rico chromosome 2, complete genome